UAGGGAAUCUUCCGCAAUGGGCGAAAGCCUGACGGAGCAAUGCCGCGUGAGUGAUGAAGGUCUUCGGAUCGUAAAACUCUGUUAUUAGGGAAGAACAAAUGUGUAAGUAACUAUGCACGUCCUGACGGUACCUAAUCAGAAAGCCACGGCUAACUACGUGCCAGCAGCCGCGGUAAUACGUAGGUGGCAAGCGUUAUCCGGAAUUAUUGGGCGUAAAGCGCGCGUAGGCGGUUUUUUAAGUCUGAUGUGAAAGCCCACGGCUCAACCGUGGAGGGUCAUUGGAAACUGGAAAACUUGAGUGCAGAAGAGGAAAGUGGAAUUCCAUGUGUAGCGGUGAAAUGCGCAGAGAUAUGGAGGAACACCAGUGGCGAAGGCGACUUUCUGGUCUGUAACUGACGCUGAUGUGCGAAAGCGUGGGGAUCAAACAGG
rnacentral:rRNA from 1 species